GACGAACGCUGGCGGCGUGCUUAACACAUGCGAGUCGAACGGUAAGGCCCUUCGGGGUACACGAGUGGCGAACGGGUGAGUAACACGUGGGUGAUCUGCCCUGCACUUCGGGAUAAGCCUGGGAAACUGGGCCUAAUACCGGAUAGGACUCCGGACUGCAUGGUCUGGGGUGGAAAGCUUUUGCGGUGUGGGAUGGGCCCGCGGCCUAUCAGCUUGUUGGUGGGGUGAUGGCCUACCAAGGCGACGACGGGUAGCCGGCCUGGGAGGGUGACCGGCCACACUGGGACUGAGAUACGGCCCAGACUCCUACGGGAGGCAGCAGUGGGGAAUAUUGCACAAUGGGCGCAAGCCUGAUGCAGCGACGCCGCGUGAGGGAUGACGGCCUUCGGGUUGUAAACCUCUUUCAGCAUCGACGAAGCGAAAGUGACGGUAGGUGCAGAAGAAGGACCGGCCAACUACGUGCCAGCCGCCGCCGUAAAAC
rnacentral:rRNA from 1 species